ensembl:lncRNA
AUGGCGGGCUCGCGGCUUGUGGACUCGGUGUCCCAUGGAGCGCUGCGGGGGGCCCGGCGCCCGGACCGCGGCCCCGGCGGCUGGCGGCAGGGCGGCUAGUUCAAGUUGCCAUAGCGGCGAGGUUGCUCAUGAGAACAAAGAGGAAUGCUUAACCAUAAAUAGUAAGUUUUCUUCAGACAAAAUGUCCUCCUUAUCCUGUGCUUUCUUUUAUUUUUACCUUGAUUACUGACCUUUCUUCUGUGCUCUGGCUAGUAUGUAUCUUAAUGACCCCAUUUUUGGACAGCUGAUAAUAAACCCAUUAAUUUUUCCUGCUGUAAAUCUUUAUUUCCCUUUUUUUCCUCCAGUCUUUUCAGUAGUAGGGCCUUUUAUGGUUGGGUCUACUUCUUUAUUGGGUUUUGUUGAUUUUUUUUUUACCAAAUUAUAGUAAAGCCAAUAUUAUUCCAUGUUAUUAUUUAUACAAGUGUUUUAUUUAUUUUUCUUUGUCUUUGAAAAUAUUUCAUAAUUUCUAUUUCCCAGUGUUUAGUGUUCAUUCUUGUUCAGUCUCAUUAAGCCUUCAUUGCAGCUGACUAGAGUGAGGCACUGGAGUAAUGAAUUCUGGUCCUGUUGGUAAAAAUGUGCUUUAGUGAGGUGAGGUAAGAAGAGGUAAGAUGAGGUAAAUUCACCAGUUCAGAAAAAGAAGGAAUACUGAUGUACUUGAGCACAGACUGAGCACGUUGAUUUGCUGUUCUUUCAUGUUUGAAAGGUUUUUAUCCAAGUCUGGGGGACACAAAUGUGCAACCUUUUGAAAAUUAAAUAUAAAGACUUGGAAAAACAUCAAGUUGCCUCCAUAUAAAAUAUAAUACAAGUUUGGAAUCCACUCAUGGUUUCUUUUGUAAAUUUCAACUCUCAUGGCUAGAAUAAUGUCAUCUUUACUGUGACUUUUUUUUGUUGACUACAGGGGUUCAAGAGUUUGCCGGUCUAUUUCGUCUUUCACCAAGUCAUUCCAUGACCUUAAGGCAAACUGUUGCAGUGUGUAGUAGCUUAAGAAACAAUUUUGAUGUAACCUACCUUUUGAAGGUUGUUAUUUUAAUCAGUUACUAUGUGAUUUUACUAUACUAGGCACAGCUGUCUGUAGUUUUUAAUAAUUUCACCCAUCUGAUGAUUGUUGACCUAUUUUCCCUCUAUCUUGCUGUCCUUGAGAUUCAGCAAUCCCCAUUCUGAAGACAGCUUAGUGAGUAGUGUGAGGUAAAGGAGAGUGGUGCUGCAGACUGGGAAGAUUGAUAAAACAUUGAUGUUUUAUCAUUCUGUGUUUGAGGAGAAGAAUUAGCUUUGGGCUGUGAUUUGAUCAUGGGUACUGAACGUUUGGAAGCAGUGAGAUUGCAUAUUUUGAUUUAAUUUGCUCCUCUGCCUUCUGCAUCUUGACCCUGCUUCAUAGUGUGAACAAAGGUAAUAACUGAGGAGCAGUUGGAAGAUCUGCUUCAAAAGUACAUCCUGCUGAUCCAAACCAGAAAGGCAAAUGUAAUCUAAGUUUAUGAAGUUGCUUUGGGAAUAUUGUGCAAGACAGUUCAGUUACAGACAGGAAUUAACACACAUUACUUUUUCUGGUCUUCCU